rnacentral:rRNA from 1 species
ACAUACGCGUAGAGUUUGAUCAUGGCUCAGGAUGAACGCUGGCGGAGUGCCUAAUACAUGCAAGUCGAGCGGCAGCACGAGUAGUUUACUACUUGGUGGCGAGCGGCGGACGGCUGAGUAACGCGUGGGAACGUGCCCCAAAGUGAGGAAUAACUGCCCGAAAGGGUAGCUAAUGCCGCAUAUGAUCUUCGGAUUAAAGUAUUUAUUACGCUUUGGGAGCGGCCCGCGUCCGAUUAGGUUGUUGGUGAGGUAAAGGCUCACCAAGCCGACGAUCGGUAGCUGGUUUGAGAGGAUGACCAGCCAGACUGGAACUGAGACACGGUCCAGACUCCUACGGGAGGCAGCAGUAAGGAAUCUUCCACAAUGGACGAAAGUCUGAUGGAGCAACUCCGCGUGCAGGAUGAAGGCCUUAGGGUUGUAAACUGCUUUUAUGAGUGAAGAAUAUGACGGUAACUCAUGAAUAAGGGUCGGCUAACUACGUGCCAGCCGCCGCGGUAAU